rnacentral:rRNA from 1 species
AUGGCUGUCGAGAGCUCUCCUCUGAGUCACCACACAGCCAUCGUAACGCUCGCAGCUCUCAUCUCUUGAUCUAUUUGGAGACACCGAAACUCAUGCGUCUUCGACGGCGCCACACCUUCUCAUGCCCACCUGGUUAGCCGCAUACAGGAGGAAGCUCGCACGUGGGCGAAAGCGGGAACUCGUGGGCUUAGUAACAUCUUACUUGCAACGUAA